rnacentral:tRNA from 1 species
GGAGGGGUACCAAAGUGGUCAAAUGGGGCGGACUGUAAAUCCGUUGCGUAAGCUUCGUAGGUUCGAAUCCUACCCCCUCCACCA